GAACGAAAGUUAGGGGAUCAAAGAUGAUCAGAUACCGUCGUAGUCUUAACCGUAAACUAUGCCGACUGAGAAUGGGUACCGCUUAUACGGUAUCCGCGCUCUACGAGAAAUCAAAGUGAUCAGGUUCUGGGGGGAGUAUGGUCGCAAGGCUGAAACUUAAAGGAAUUGACGGAAGGGCACCACCAGGAGUGGAGCCUGCGGCUUAAUUUGACUCAACACGGGGAAACUCACCAGGUCCAGACACAAUAAGGAUUGACAGAUUGAUAGCUCUUUCUUGAUUUUGUGGGUGGUGGUGCAUGGCCGUUCUUAGUUGGUGGAGUGAUUUGUCUGCUUAAUUGCGAUAACGAACGAG
rnacentral:rRNA from 1 species